GCCUGAUCUUGGCAGACAAAGGAGUUGACCUCCAGGUCUUUGACCCUUUGCAGGCUGUUUGCAGAGGUAUGCCCGUGCUGACCAUGCUCCUGCAGAGGAUGCAUUUGGUUUGUGUUUACUUCAUCCUUUUCUUAAGUGGAAGUGGUGAGAGGCUUGAUGUAAUGCUGUUCAGAGAUGUAGGAGGUGAUAUUUCACUGCUGAGGAUGCUUGAACCUCCUGCCCUCACCUCUGCCAAGCCAUGGCUGCAAGCUGGAUGCAAAUACCUGCAGGUAUAAAUGACACUGUAUCAAAAAGAUGGAUUUUUGAUUAGCAGAAGGACAACAUAUCACAGCUUUAUUGGACUAAUCUGGCUUCAGACUCUACUGAUAAAACUCAGAGGAAAGUCUAGCUCCAGAGACCACAGAGAAAAAAAACACGUUUGAUACAAGUAAAAAGU
rnacentral:lncRNA from 1 species